UACGUAGGGGGCAAGCGUUGUCCGGAAUCAUUGGGCGUAAAGCGCGUGUAGGCGGCCACGUAAGUCCGCUCUGAAAGCCCGGGGCUCAACCCCGGGAGGCGGGUGGAUACUGCGUGGCUCGAGUCCGGAAGAGGCGAGUGGAAUUCCCGGUGUAGCGGUGAAAUGCGCAGAUAUCAGGAGGAACACCGGUGGCGAAGGCGGGUCUCUGGGCCGUAACUGACGCUGAGGAGCGAAAGCGUGGGGAGCGAACAGG
rnacentral:rRNA from 1 species